rnacentral:rRNA from 1 species
AGUGAACGCUGGCGGCGUGCUUAAGACAUGCAAGUCGAACGGCAGUCUUCGGACUGUAGUGGCGCACGGGUGAGUAACGCGUAACUGACCUACCCCAAAGUCGCGGAUAACGAUUCGAAAGAAUCGCUAAUACGUGAUGUGCUGUCAGAUUGUGUUCUGCCAGUAAAGAUUGAUUGCUUUGGGAUGGGGUUGCGUUCCAUCAGCUAGUUGGUGGGGUAAAGGCCCACCAAGGCGACGACGGAUAGCCGGCCUGGGAGGGUGGCCGGCCACAGGGGCACUGGGACACGGGUCCCACUCCUACGGGAGGCAGCAGUUAGGAAUCUUCCACCAUGGGCGAAAGCCUGAUGGAGCGACGCCGCGUGAGGGAUGAAGGUCCUCGGAUCGUAAACCUCUGGAUCAGGGACGAAAGACACUUCGGUGGGAUGACGGUACCUGAGUAAUAGCACCGGCUAACUCCGUGCCAGCCGCCGCCGUAAUAC